rnacentral:lncRNA from 1 species
UGCUUUUGUGACACCCAUUUUCACAUUUAAUAUUCUUUCCAGAACUUGCACAUACAAGGACCCUAAAAUUUUUAUCAGGCUCAUUUAAAUAUGAUUGCAAUCAUAGGUUAGACAUUAGUGAGAAUUUGCAAAUGAAAACCAGGGUGAGGCUUGCUCUAAAGUUUCACAGAGGCUUAGGAAUCAGACUUUAUAAGUAGUAAUGCUAAUAUCUUAUGGGAUUUUUAAUAGACAACAUCUCCAAAUUUGUAUCAUACUAGAGAAGUAAAUGCAAAUGUAAUAUAGAAAUCAAGACAUAAAGAGAUAUACUCUGCUGUUUAAGCUUUUAUCAGUUGUUAUUUCAGAAAACUGUAAAAUCUGUCAAACAUUUCAAUUAGAAAGGAAUACAUGCUUUUUGCCUUUGUUUGAUACAAACCUAUUGGACUGUCAGUCAUCAGAAGCAUAAAACUUGCAAGAUAUAUUAUCACGAUUGGCAUUUUGCUUUUGACUUAUAUUCAUUUUUCCCUAAGCCAACAUUCAUUAAAAUUUGAAAUUCCUACCCAACUUAACUGUCCUUUUUUAAUAGUAAAGAGUAAUGACAGGAAUAAACUGGAAAAGCAGCUAUCUUUAAUCUCUCUCAUUCAUAUUUUUGUCCUUUGGACAGUUAUAGCUCUUAUGGAUGAGAAUAAUGGCAAAAAUCUGUAGAAUUUUCUGAGCCAUAACAUAUGAUUUUAAGAAAUUCAGAACUCAGAGUCAUUCAGUCAUUCAUUCAGGAUUUAUUUUUAUAUAUGUAUCCCAUUAUUUAAUGGCUUGUGAAAAUAUUUUCCAUCGAUCCUUACCAAUUUGAUUGAUUAAAAUGCCAUAAGCACAUAUUACAUUUAUAAAAUGAUGGAUUUGAGACCACCUUUUAUUAAGGGUGGAGAAGAUGUAAGCAUGGGCAAGAUCUCUGAGACAUAUUUGAUUAAAUUUUUUUUCUAGUCAUUUUACUCUAUACUGGUAUGUCGGGGUGAAAAGAAAUGAAAUUUACUUUUCUCGACAGGUCUGCUCUACAUACAGCUUCACCACAUUAAUUCAUAAAGGUUUUUAAUUAUGUGAGCUGUUGGAAAGAAUGAAAAUUUUGAUCAAUUUUAUCUUAUUUUUUAUAAAAUCUUGUGUUUAACACUCUUUUGCAGUUUAUCUAUCUGACCAUCUCUACAUUUUAUUAUUACACUGCUUCGCUAAUAAUUCAGUCUCCAGGCCUUUUUCAGUCUGUUAGCAGUUGAUUAGGAAACCCUCUAAUCCCUUUCAGGAUAUUGAGGAGCUAAUGGUUUGCAGAGUAUUUGGAUCUUUAAGCUUCCAUUGUAACCGGUAUGAAGAAUUGUCAUUGAGCUGAUAUUUGCAUAUAUCUCUCCCAGUGCUAGCUACUUUGCCUCCUUUUCUGCCCUCCUAAUCUUCAGCUUUCAUCCUGAGAAUAUUUAUUUUAGUCGGAAAUAAGCAUGCCAGUGAUAGAAAUUUGGGAUUCACCUCCAAAUGAAUGCCAUCACAGACAGGGAAACUCUGGCACAUUUUGCAUAGAUCUGUAUGAACACAGUGAACCCUUCAUAAGCUCUUAGAUUGCAGGAAAUCAGUGCUGAAAAUUAAGUGGGGUUUUAAAGAUUUGCAAAGUAGAGAGCUUUGUAUAAUGCUGGUAUUGCAGGUGCCUAUUAAAUAUGAAAUAAAGGCUUUGUAAUAUAACUAGCUAACACAUUUUCUUCCAUAUUAGAGUGAUUUAUAGCCUAGGGAAUUAGUCUUGCCUAUUUUCUCCAAAUGCAGAAACAUUGGAUGCAUCUGAAAGAAUAAAAAUCUCAAAUAUUUACCAUAGAAUGGACAAAUUUGGUCCUUGAUGAUUCUAAUUAUUAAAUAUAAAUGAUGCACUCAGGCCAGUUUGUGCUUACUUGUGGUGCCUCCGAUGCCCCUGAUGUGGAUUUCACCUCUCCUGAGAAGAAACUCUCAAUUGUGCAUGCAGACUCUCUCAACAUAAAUCAGAUUAAAACCCUAGGUAUCUAUGAGACUGUAUAACAUAACUAUAAUGAAGAGGGCUGUGUCCUGAGUGCUUUCUACUCAGAGGAAUUCUUGUUGAAUCAUUUCUCAAACUAUUCUUUAAUUCCACUUUGCUUUAUUUAUAAAUACUGUGUAUUUGUGGCUCAGCAUUUCACUCCAGAUGUAUAUAUAUUUCAUUAUAUUUACCUUCAUGACAGUAAAUGCCUUGCAGUUCCUUAAUGCUUAAUGUCUUUG